GUAGGCAUAUCAUUGGAAGAUUGGCCAUAAGAGACUACAUUUGCCAGGGGUCCGCCCGGUGUCCUUUGUCUAAAUUGGUGCGUAAACUUCAACUGGAGGCAUUUUCCAUUGAGAUUCAGAGGAGAACGCACACUUCCACGAACGAUAUAUCAUCGAAGAGAUAUGUGAAAAACACGUUGAGGAUUGAUUCUAAACAACGUUUACCGUGUUUCAGUCGAUAUUAUGGAGUUAAUUUGGAAAAAAAUUUGACGUUUUGAUGACUGAAUUUUCGGGUUUUUUUGGUAGCCAAACGUGACGCACCAAACGGAGCGAUUUCUCCUAAACAUAUAAUCUUUCAGGAAAAACUGAACAUUUGCUAUCUAACUGAGAGUCUCCUCAUUGAAAACAUCCGAAGUUCUUCAAAGAUCUAUCCGCUGCCUUGGACAUCGUGAACCAUCAGAUCCUCCUCUCGACCCUCUCAGGGGCAUCUCAGGCUCUGCACACUUCUAGGACCUCUCCUCUCUAUACACCAAGUCACUCGGAUCCGUCAUAUCCUCACACGGUCUCUAAUAUCAACAUAUGACUAGGAUGACAAAAACAACAGGUACCCAAGCUAAGCCCUGUUGACAGCAUUGCAGUAUGUGGGUGGGCGCCAUCUUUACUCUCCCAUCUGAAGGGUUUCCACUAGAUGGCACCAGUGCUUCAUUUGAGCUGGAUCCUGCCAGAACAGGAUCCGGAACAUCUCGGAUUUGACUUGGUUUGUUCCGGGACCUAUUUGCCCAGAUCCGGUACCACUCAGAUUUGACUUGGUUUGUUCCGGGACCUAUUUGCCCAGAUCCCGUACCACUCAGAUUUGACUUGGUUUGUUCCGGCAUCUUGACCUCUCACAGCAUGAUUGAUUAAUUAUUUCACUGCUCGCACGGUAGACAUUCUAAUAAAAGCAAUCAGUGUUAAGGUCACAACGUAAUCACUUCACGUAGCCUAGUCUAGUCAUGUCCCUACUGAAUCUGAAGCGUGGGAAAGCCAGAUAAAAAAUGUAUAAGAAAAGGCAAUCGAGUUUGACAUUUUUCAAGCCAAAAAUCCAGAGAAAGAUGGUGAAUUGAAUCCAGAACGAGCCAGAGAACUGUCAGUGCCGGAGGAGAGGAGUGAGGGGGCAAACUGUUCCUGAGGUCGAUGCUAAUCCCGCCAGUUCAGCAUGACCACUGGCACCUCCACUAGCUAAUAGGCCUGCUAGUGAGUUAGACUCAGUGGGAGAGGGAGACGGGGAGCUGGGAGGAGGGGGGCAGUGCAUCCACCUACAAAGCGAAGAUUUAACCCCUGGCUUGUCAUGGGGUUGGGCUGGACAACAUGCAAAAAGGUAUGGCGCUUGUGUCUACAAACAACUGGAGGGAUUCCACUAGCAGAAGAGUGGGUGGAGUGUACAGUAAAUGACUGUCCUAUGCAUCAGACUUACAAACAACUGGAGGGAUUCCACUAGCAGAAGAGUGGGUGGAGUGUACAGUAAAUGACUGUCCUAUGCAUCAGACUUACAAACAACAACAACAAAGAGCCCUCAGUAAAAAGAUUUUGGAACAUGCCUGAACCAAGGCGCAUUUUGUGGCAGCAAGCCUUGUAGACAAGGCUAAAGAGGACACCCAGGUUAACACUCAAGACGAAGAAGAAGGAACAAAAGAUAGAAACUACAGCCAAAGUCUUCAGAACAGCCUUAGAAGGAGGUUAAACAUCAGCCACAGGCCCAGACAGUCUUCAGAACAGCCUUAGAAGGAGGUUAAACAUCACAGCCACAGGCCCAGACAGUCUUCAGAACAGCCUUAGAAGGAGGUUAAACAUCACAGCCACAGGCCCAGACAGUCUUCAGAACAGCCUUAGAAGGAGGUUAAACAUCACAGCCACAGGCCCAGACAGUCUUCAGAACAGCCUUAGAAGGAGAUUAAACAUCACAGCCACAUGCCCGCUCAUGGCUUUGAGCAAGAAGUUGACUCUCAGGAGUUAAAUGGACUUGCAACGGGGAGAGUAAUUGUGGGUGGUUUUGAAAACUAAGGCAGGACAUUAUUCCCUGUAACUUGUAAUCUUGAUGUGCUUCAUAUUACCACAGAGGCAGCAGGCCUAUAUAUUCUCAUGUGUGUGUUCUGCUGUAGCCUACAUUGAUUUAUUUCAUUUGAAGUUAUAUUCCGAUAUUGCGCUAUAUGUUUUACUGCUACAUCGAUGUCUUGAAAAUGAUAUGAAAUUCGGGUCUUGUGAACCCCACAGCGGGUGUUCUGCAGCGUCUUCUUAACAGUUUGUUGUACAUUGAUGUCUAGAAAAUUGGGCUACAUGAAAUUCGGACUUGUGUAAACACCGCUAUACUCAAGUAUGUGGGCAUACUGCAGUGAAUUCUAAAAUACUUUGAAUAAAUUAGCACCUUGGAGUGCUGUCCGUUUCACCUCCAUAGAUAGUAGGCUACUUGGAGAGUGCUGUCUACUAUCUAUGGAGGUGAAACGGACAGCACUCUCCAAGUAGCCUACUAUCUAUGGAGGUGAAACAGGACAGCACUCUUCAAGUAGGUAGUAGGCUACUUGGCUGCCAUGGUGUUUUGGACACUUUUUUCCUCAUUGUGU
ensembl:lncRNA